rnacentral:lncRNA from 1 species
GAGAAUCUAUCAACAAAUCAACUAUUUCUUUAACCAUACAUCCCACAAUUCCUGGUCGACCAUAAAAAUGAGAAAAUCAAGGGAUUUUCAUGCAAUCUUCAAAAACCUCUCAAGCCCUCCAUCCACUAUAAAUACCACAUUUCACUUCACUUUCCAUCAUACCUCAGCCAUCAUUCAUCUCUCAGUUCAUAUUCUCUCAUCUCCUUUCCUCUCAUUUUUACACAAAAAACCAUUCAUUCUCCCCA